rnacentral:rRNA from 1 species
GAUUUCUGAUCUGUCAACAUUUAGCCGGCCACGGUUUCGUGUGUUAGUGUUAGAUGUUCUGGUCAUCCUUCCAAUCGCUAUACGUUUGAUCUUCAUUGAUUUUGCGUUGUAGUAUUGGAUCUUUUACUUUGAAAAAAUUAGAGUGUUUCAAGCAGGCUUUAUGCUAUGAAUACAUUAGCAUGGAAUAAUAAUUUAGGACUUCGGUUCUAUUUUGUUGGUUUCUAGGACUGAAGUAAUGAUUGAUAGGGAUAGUUGGGGGUGCUAGUAUUCAGCGGCCAGAGGUGAAAUUCUCGGAUUCGCUGAAGACUAACUUAUGCGAAAGCAUU